GGGGGCGUUUUGGUUUCGACGUAGGUGAUAUAAUCAUGCAGUGCAUGUCGAGAGUGUAAUAAAUCUCGUUAAUAUUAUAUUACAAUAAAUUUAAAUGCAAAUGAUGAAAAUAAUCUUCAAGAAUUAUCACUAGCAGCAGCAUAAAUAUUUUUAGUGAUGAUAUUAAUUUAGUAAAUAAUGUUCUUGUUCAUUAUUUUAUAGAUUUUGAUAUAAAUAUCAAGAUACUAUUUUAAAAUAGAAAAUUAAAUAAAAAUUCAUUUAUUAAAAAUCUUGUUCGUCAGAUUAAAAAUAAUAGACGAAACUAUACAUGUAGAUCUAAUUGAUCAGUACCAACGGACGGGGGUUCGAAUCCCCCCGCCUCCAUAA
rnacentral:tmRNA from 1 species